rnacentral:rRNA from 1 species
UACGUAGGGGCCUAGCGUUGUCCGGAAUUGUUGGGCGUAAAGAGCUCGUAGGCGGUUCGGCAAGUCGGAUGUGAAAUCUCCACGCUUAACGUGGAGGGGCCAUUCGAAACUGCUGUGACUCGAGUCCGGUAGGGGAGUGGAACUCCGAGUGUAGAGGUGAAAUUCGUAGAUAUUCGGAAGAACACCAGUGGCGAAGGCGGCUCACUGGCCCGGUACUGACGCUGAGGUGCGAAAGCGUGGGGAGCAAACAGG